rnacentral:rRNA from 1 species
CGGCGUGCUUAACACAUGCAAGUCGAGCGAUGAAGUUUCCUUCGGGAAACGGAUUAGCGGCGGACGGGUGAGUAACACGUGGGUAACCUGCCUCAUAGAGUGGAAUAGCCUUCCGAAAGGAAGAUUAAUACCGCAUAAUGUUGAAAGAUGGCAUCAUCAUUCAACCAAAGGAGCAAUCCGCUAUGAGAUGGACCCGCGGCGCAUUAGCUAGUUGGUGGGGUAACGGCCUACCAAGGCGACGAUGCGUAGCCGACCUGAGAGGGUGAUCGGCCACAUUGGGACUGAGACACGGCCCAGACUCCUACGGGAGGCAGCAGUGGGGAAUAUUGCACAAUGGGGGAAACCCUGAUGCAGCAACGCCGCGUGAGUGAUGAAGGUUUUCGGAUCGUAAAGCUCUGUCUUUGGGGAAGAUAAUGACAGUACCCAAGGAGGAAGCCACGGCUAACUACGUGCCAGCAGCCGCGGUAAUACGUAGGUGGCGAGCGUUAUCCGGAUUUACUGGGCGUAAAGGGAGCGUAGGCGGAUGAUUAAGUGGGAUGUGAAAUACCCGGGCUCAACUUGGGUGCUGCAUUCCAAACUGGUUAUCUAGAGUGCAGGAGAGGAGAGUGGAAUUCCUAGUGUAGCGGUGAAAUGCGUAGAGAUUAGGAAGAACACCAGUGGCGAAGGCGACUCUCUGGACUGUAACUGACGCUGAGGCUCGAAAGCGUGGGGAGCAAACAGGAUUAGAUACCCUGGUAGUCCACGCCGUAAACGAUGAGUACUAGGUGUGGGGGUUUCAACACCUCCGUGCCGCCGCUAACGCAUUAAGUAUUCCGCCUGGGGAGUACGGUCGCAAGAUUAAAACUCAAAGGAAUUGACGGGGACCCGCACAAGUAGCGGAGCAUGUGGUUUAAUUCGAAGCAACGCGAAGAACCUUACCUACACUUGACAUCCCUUGCAUUACUCUUAAUCGAGGAAAUCCCUUCGGGGACAAGGUGACAGGUGGUGCAUGGUUGUCGUCAGCUCGUGUCGUGAGAUGUUGGGUUAAGUCCCGCAACGAGCGCAACCCUUGUCGUUAGUUACUACCAUUAAGUUGAGGACUCUAGCGAGACUGCCUGGGUUAACCAGGAGGAAGGUGGGGAUGACGUCAAAUCAUCAUGCCCCUUAUGUGUAGGGCUACACACGUGCUACAAUGGCUGGUACAGAGAGAUGCAAUACCGCGAGGUGGAGCCAAACUUAAAAACCAGUCUCAGUUCGGAUUGUAGGCUGAAACUCGCCUACAUGAAGCUGGAGUUACUAGUAAUCGCGAAUCAGAAUGUCGCGGUGAAUACGUUCCCGGGUCUUGUACACACCGCCCGUCACACCAUGAGAGUUGGCAAUACCCGAAGUCCGUGAGCUAACCGCGAGGAGGCAGCGGCCGAAGGUAGGGUCAGCGAUUGGGGUGAA